UACAGGGGGUGCAAACGUUGCUCGGAAUCAUUGGGCGUAAAGCGCACGUAGGCGGUUCGUUAUGUCGGAUGUGAAAGCCCUUGGCUUAACCGAGGAAGUGCAUCCGAAACUGGCGAGCUAGAGUACGAAAGAGGAUCGCGGAAUUCCCGGUGUAGAGGUGAAAUUCGUAGAUAUCGGGAGGAACACCAGUGGCGAAGGCGGCGACCUGGGGCGAUACUGACGCUGAGGUGCGAAAGCGUGGGGAGCGAACAGG
rnacentral:rRNA from 1 species